CCCAAAAAAAUUAUUAUUUGAAUCUCGAAAACACUAAGCACUACUAAUCAAUCUACCGUCGUUGCCUUGACCAUAGCCGGCAAAAGUGGAAAGGAAAAGAUUAAUGGGAACAAGCAAAAUCUUGAUGCAUGUCUAAAAAAGGAGAAAGUGUAAAUAAUCUCAGGACUAAAUCGAAGUCGGGACAAAAGAAUGGACGAGAGGAAGCAUAGAUCAGAACACAACAAUGAAUCCAAACUAGAUCCGGUUAUGACCAAUUAUCUGCCCUCAACUGAUAGCCAAAACAACAAGAAGAAGCUGGAAUCUCCAACAAAACUACUACCACCGCAAAGAGAGGACAUGACAAAGCUCGUCAGGAGCGUUGAUCACUGAUCAUAGUGGCAAGAUGUUGAUGUUGUCACACAAGAACCCUCUCCCAAACAGAUUUCGAACGCCCCACGAAACAAAACCCACAAAAACCAAAGAUUAAAACAAUAAAAUCA
rnacentral:lncRNA from 1 species